CCUACGGGAGGCUGCAGUGAGGAAUAUUGGUCAAUGGACGAGAGUCUGAACCAGCCAAGUAGCGUGAAGGAUGACUGCCCUAUGGGUUGUAAACUUCUUUUAUAUGGGAAUAAAACGUUCCACGUGUGGGAUUUUGUAUGUACCAUAUGAAUAAGGCUCGGCUAACUCCGUGCCAGCAGCCGCGGUAAUACGGAGGAUCCGAGCGUUAUCCGGAUUUAUUGGGUUUAAAGGGAGCGUAUGUGGAUUGUUAAGUCAGUUGUGAAAGUUUGCGGCUCAACCGUAAAAUUGCAGUUGAAACUGGCAGUCUUGAGUACAGUAGAGGUGGGCGGAAUUCGUGGUGUAGCGGUGAAAUGCUUAGAUAUCACGAAGAACUCCGAUUGCGAAGGCAGUUCACUGGACUGCAACUGACACUGAGGAUCGAAAGUGUGGGUAUCAAACAGGAUUAGAUACCCUUGUAGUC
rnacentral:rRNA from 1 species